UACGUAGGGGGCAAGCGUUGUCCGGAUUUAUUGGGCGUAAAGAGCGUGUAGGCGGCCAUACAGGUCCGUUGUGAAAACUCGAGGCUCAACCUCGAGACGUCGAUGGAAACCGUAUGGCUAGAGUCCGGAAGAGGAGAGUGGAAUUCCUGGUGUAGCGGUGAAAUGCGCAGAUAUCAGGAAGAACACCCGUGGCGAAGGCGGCCUGCUGGGCAGUAGCUGACGCUGAUGCGCGACAGCGUGGGGAGCAAACAGG
rnacentral:rRNA from 1 species